GACGAACGCUGGCGGUGUGCCUAACACAUGCAAGUCGAACGAGGUCCAAGGAAGCUUGCUUCCUGACGACCUAGUGGCGAACGGGUGAGUAACACGUGAGAAACCUGCCUCGGAGUGGGGAAUAACUCGGGGAAACUCGAGCUAAUACCGCAUGUCUUCACAUGAUCGCAUGGUCGAGUGAAGAAAGAAUUUCGCUCUGAGAGGGUCUCGCGGCCUAUCAGCUUGUUGGUGGGGUAACGGCCCACCAAGGCAACGACGGGUAGCUGGUUUGAGAGAACGAUCAGCCACACUGGGACUGAGACACGGCCCAGACUCCUACGGGAGGCAGCAGUGGGGAAUCUUGCGCAAUGGGCGAAAGCCUGACGCAGCAACGCCGCGUGCGGGAUGACGGCCUUCGUGGUUGUAAACCGCUUUCAGCAGGGACGAAAAUGACGGUACCUGCAGAAGAAGCCCCGGCUAACUACGUGCCAGCCGCCGCAGUAA
rnacentral:rRNA from 1 species